rnacentral:lncRNA from 1 species
UGCAGAUUCCAGUACUGCAGUUACUUUGUUUUUAUGCCUACAGAGUUGGAAAAAAUUAUAAUUAUAGCACAUUGGUAACAUUUUACAAAAGCAAGAGAUUAGAGCUAGAUGAAGAUUGAAGAUAUAGAGUGGAACCUGAACAAGCGUCCAGUUUCCGAGUCACCUGAAAGAUAGUUCUGCAUUAUAGGACCACUAUGUUGUUGAAGUGAGGUGCAGUGUCCAUAGAACAACUAUUUGAGUACAUAUAUGUGUGUUCCGUAGGAGCCAUUAUCAGCUUCAUAAAGUUGCAGAAUCUGAUGAACAUCUGCAGAAGAUAAUAUGAUAUAUUAAAAUUUACUAGAUUAUCUAGUAAAUCCUCAUAACUUCUCUUUUAAUUUCACAAAAAUAUGAAACCAAUCCAAACAAAACGUACUGAGUGUAUCCACUCGUAGAAUGGGGUAUUAUAGUUUGGCAUCUGUGGCCAGUGGCCACUGUUUUAAGAUGGAAAUGAUGUGUUUACAACAACAUCCAGAAAUUUAUUCAGUUCCAGUUGACUAUAGUUGACUAGUUGUGGCAGCUCUUGUUAUCAACUUCGUGCCAGACCGGAAGCUAUAUCAUUAGGAGAGGACAUUGUCGGAAGGACAUGUAUGAAACACGACAUUAUGCAGUGUGGAAGAAACAGUAAGAAGUUUGUAAGAUCACCAUCUCGACUCACUCAGAUGCAUAUUCCAUGUUGUUAUGCCUUCAAUGUUUAUAUAUACAAAAAACUCCAGCAGAUAGAAAAUUGGUAGCACUCUCCGGCUUACAAACAUAUAUGAAACAACACUAUGUCAUCUGUAUGACACGGGGCAAAUCUCUUCUAAAUUAUCAUUACUCUGGCAUUCAUAUUUAUGCUAGAGUAGAGUACCUUUCUUGGCUGGAAUGCUGGAGUGAAGUUUUAUGAUACAUGAUUCUAAACAAAACAUACAAAGUAUAUCCGCUUAGCUUACAGCCUUACACACUUACCAGCAGUUCUAGAGCAGAGGGAUUGUUUAUGUUAACUCGUGACACUCACUUUAAUCAGGUUUCAUAGAACUAUGUUUCAGAAAUUUGUAUGGUGUAUAUGUAUGCUAUAGAGUGUUUAUACAGCCAUCAAUUUUCCCGUCGUUGGAUCAUUGAUCCAAUGGCUGGGAUUAAAAAUUCUAAUUCCACUAUCAGAACAAAAUUUUAGCCAAACUUCCUUGUAGCAAAAUUUUUGUGCUGGUAGGGGGAGCAUAUUUUUAAUUCCAGCCUUUGGAUCCCAACACAUAUUAUUUUACCAAUGGAUGUUUUAGUUUGCAUUAUAGAGUAUUUUAAACAUACACUCAACAAUUCAGUAUCUUCAUGUUCUGUACUUUAAUAUAUAUAGUCCUCCAUAGCAAAUUACAUGGCAGCUGUGGAGUACAGUAAUAAAAAGAGACUCUUAUUACAUAUAAUGUUUUCAGUCAUACAAAUAAAAUUAGUUCUUCUGAAUACAAUUUCACUCAGUUUCCAAAGAGACUCACACUCUCAUAGUGUUUUCAGCUUAAGCUAAACAACAGUCACCUGGUUGAGAACUGGCAUAGCAACUUAAGCCUUUGUGCUCCUCCAGG